rnacentral:ncRNA from 2 species
CCAUCUGCAUCGGGAGAAUCUGGGGAAACCCAGUGCCGAAGGAGCAACCGCCCCGGUAAACUCUCAGGCCAACGGACCGAUGCAGAGAA